AGCGAACGCUGGCGGCAGGCCUAACACAUGCAAGUCGAACGAACUCUUCGGAGUUAGUGGCGGACGGGUGAGUAACACGUGGGAACGUGCCUUUUGGUUCGGAAUAACUCAGGGAAACUUGUGCUAAUACCGAAUGUGCUCUUCGGGGGAAAGAUUUAUCGCCAUUAGAGCGGCCCGCGUCUGAUUAGCUAGUUGGUGAGGUAACGGGGCACCAAGGCGACGAUCAGUAGCUGGUCUGAGAGGAUGACCAGCCACACUGGGACUGAGACACGGCCCAGACUCCUACGGGAGGCAGCAGUGGGGAAUCUUGCGCAAUGGGCGAAAGCCUGACGCAGCCAUGCCGCGUGAAUGAUGAAGGUCUUAGGAUUGUAAAAUUCUUUCACCGGGGACGAUAAUGACGGUACCCGGAGAAGAAGCCCCGGCUAACUUCGUG
rnacentral:rRNA from 1 species